UACAGAGGGGGCAAGCGUUGUUCGGACUUACUGGGCGUAAAGGGCGCGUAGGCGGCCUGUUAAGUCGAACGUGAAAUCCCCGGGCUCAACCCGGGAACUGCGUCCGAUACUGGCAGGCUUGAAUCUGGGAGAGGGAUGCGGAACUCCAGGUGUAGCGGUGAAAUGCGUAGAUAUCUGGAGGAACACCGGUGGCGAAGGCGGCUCUCUAGUACGGUACUGACGCUGAGACGCGAAAGCGUGGGGAGCGAACAGG
rnacentral:rRNA from 1 species